rnacentral:lncRNA from 1 species
UUUUUUUUUUUUAAUUUAAUUUUAUUUUUACAUCCCAUUCACUGCCCCCUCCUGGUCAACCCCAUCCUACAAUCCUUCCCCCCAACCCCUUCUCUGCUGGUCCUAAACAAGAAGGCCCAACUGAGGAAGCCUGAAUUUCAUUUAGAAGGGGAAAUAAAAUAGCCCUAAGAGGCAGAUGGAGGGAGGGAGCUGGAGAGAGGGAGAUGGGGGAUUCAGGAUCAGGUGUCAGGAAAGACAUGAAAAAUAGCUAGAUAACCAUGAAACUGAAUGGAAAUCUGCAACUGAUGUGGUAAGGAAGUGGUGGGCAUCUUCAGGACGAGACAUGGCCUGGGACAAGGGAGACACCCAAGAAUCAAUGGGGGUGAUCGUAGCUGUGACUCACUAUAUUGGGAAUAUGGAAUCUGAAGAGGCCGCACCCUCUUUAAAAAAUGUUGACAUGACUGUGUCCUCCCCACCCCACCCCCACCUCGUAUUUGCCAUGUUUAAGCUUGAUGUUUUUCUCGGGUUUGAUUUAAACCCUUCAGGUUCAAUCCCAUUGCACAGAAUCUGCAGUCUGCUAGGCAUCAUAUUCUUCUAUUGGCCUCAUGGUGACACUCUGCAGAAGAGCCAAGGAGGAUUCUGGAGGGAAAGG